rnacentral:rRNA from 1 species
UAGGGAAUCUUCGGCAAUGGACGAAAGUCUGACCGAGCAACGCCGCGUGAGUGAAGAAGGUUUUCGGAUCGUAAAACUCUGUUGUUAGAGAAGAACAAGGACGUUAGUAACUGAACGUCCCCUGACGGUAUCUAACCAGAAAGCCACGGCUAACUACGUGCCAGCAGCCGCGGUAAUACGUAGGUGGCAAGCGUUGUCCGGAUUUAUUGGGCGUAAAGCGAGCGCAGGCGGUUUCUUAAGUCUGAUGUGAAAGCCCCCGGCUCAACCGGGGAGGGUCAUUGGAAACUGGGAGACUUGAGUGCAGAAGAGGGGAGUGGAAUUCCAUGUGUAGCGGUGAAAUGCGUAGAUAUAUGGAGGAACGCCAGUGGCGAAGGCGGCUCUCUGGUCUGUAACUGACGCUGAGGCUCGAAAGCGUGGGGAGCAAACAGG